UGAAGUUGUUCCCAUUGCAGUAAGGCCAGGAUAUAUUCGCUUUUAGUUGAUCUGAGUUUGAACAAGUCUAAUUUGAGUUUCAUGUUUGGUCUUGUUUAGUCCCGAAUUUUGAUUGUAGAUAUUUAAUUUAGAUUCUGGAGUCUUUACUGUGCUCAUGGACAAAUUUUUUGUGAGCCCAAAAAAUUUCUUGAAAAUCCCAUUCAUGAAGAAGGCCAUGAUAGAUAGAGGAGGAGAAAGAGCUGGAGCUUGGGGUUAGGGUUUUGGUCGCCGUUGUAGGAGGUAGGGGGAGAAAAAGAGGCGCUCAAGAAGGAAGAUAUGUGUGGACAAAAGGCCCUUGAUCGGAAACAUCUUCGCCGACGACCUCGACAACGACGACUACGACUGAGGAGGUAGCGAAAAUGGGUGUUUGGAAAAGAUUGGUCAGGGCUAGAACUGGGUAGGUUGGGGAAGAA
rnacentral:lncRNA from 1 species